rnacentral:rRNA from 1 species
UACGGAGGGUGCAAGCGUUAAUCGGAAUUACUGGGCGUAAAGCGCGCGUAGGCGGCUGAUUAAGUCGGAUGUGAAAGCCCCGGGCUCAACCUGGGAACUGCAUUCGAUACUGUUCGGCUAGAGUAUGAGAGAGGGAGGUAGAAUUCCACGUGUAGCGGUGAAAUGCGUAGAUAUGUGGAGGAAUACCAGUGGCGAAGGCGACUGCCUGGACGGCACCUGACGCUGAGGCGCGAAAGCUAGGGGAGCAAACGGG